rnacentral:rRNA from 1 species
AGCGAACGCUGGCGGCAGGCCUAACACAUGCAAGUCGAACGAACUCUUCGGAGUUAGUGGCGGACGGGUGAGUAACACGUGGGAACGUGCCUUUUGGUUCGGAAUAACUCAGGGAAACUUGUGCUAAUACCGAAUGUGCCCUUCGGGGGAAAGAUUUAUCGCCAUUAGAGCGGCCCGCGUCUGAUUAGCUAGUUGGUGAGGUAACGGCUCACCAAGGCGACGAUCAGUAGCUGGUCUGAGAGGAUGACCAGCCACACUGGGACUGAGACACGGCCCAGACUCCUACGGGAGGCAGCAGUGGGGAAUCUUGCGCAAUGGGCGAAAGCCUGACGCAGCCAUGCCGCGUGAAUGAUGAAGGUCUUAGGAUUGUAAAAUUCUUUCAACGGGGACGAUAAUGACGGUACCCGGAGAAGAAGCCCCGGCUAACUUCGUG